rnacentral:rRNA from 1 species
AAUGAACGUUGGCGGCGUGGAUUAGGCAUGCAAGUCGAACGAGAUCUGUAGCAAUACAGUGAAAGUGGCGAAAGGGAGAGUAAUACGUAGGUACCUGCCCUCGGGUCUGGGAUAGCUGCGGGAAACUGCAAUUAAUACCGGAUGACGUCUCUGGACCAAAGGUGUGAUUCCGCCAGAGGAUGGGCCUGCGUCCUAUCAGCUAGUUGGUGUGGUAAAGGCGCACCAAGGCGAAGACGGGUACGGGGUGUGAGAGCAUGCCCCCGCUCACUGGGACUGAGAUACUGCCCAGACACCUACGGGUGGCUGCAGUCGAGAAUCUUCCGCAAUGGGCGAAAGCCUGACGGAGCGACGCCGCGUGUGGGAUGAAGGCCUUCGGGUUGUAAACCACUGUCAGUGGGGAGCAAGUGCAUCGGGGUUCACCCCGGUGUUUGAGCGAUCCGCAGAGGAAGCACAGGCUAAUUCCGUGCCAGCCGCCGCAGUAACAC